rnacentral:misc_RNA from 1 species
UGGCUCUCGCAUCGAUGAAGAACGCAGCGAAAUGCGAUAAGUAAUGUGAAUUGCAGAAUUCAGUGAAUCAUCGAAUCUUUGAACGCACCUUGCGCUCCUUGGUAUUCCGAGGAGCAUGCCUGUUUGAGUGUCAUUAAAUUCUCAAACCUCCUUUUGGUUUAUUCCAUGGAGGAGGCUUUAGAUAUGGGAGUCUUUGCUGGCUUCGUUCAGCUCUCCUUAAAUAUAUCAGUGGUUUCUGACCCUAUCUUGGUGUUGGUAGUUUAUCUACACCUCGAAUGCUUGGGUUUGAGUGUAACUGCUUUCUAACUGUCCUCGGACAAUGACUUAUGACCAUUUGACCUCAAAUCAGGUAGGACUACCCGCUGA